rnacentral:rRNA from 1 species
CCUACGGGGCGCAGCAGUGAGGAAUAUUGGUCAAUGGACGCAAGUCUGAACCAGCCAUGCCGCGUGCAGGAAGACGGCUCUAUGAGUUGUAAACUGCUUUUGUACGAGGGUAAACACAGAUACGUGUAUCUGCUUGAAAGUAUCGUACGAAUAAGGAUCGGCUAACUCCGUGCCAGCAGCCGCGGUAAUACGGAGGAUCCAAGCGUUAUCCGGAUUUAUUGGGUUUAAAGGGUGCGUAGGCGGUUUAGUAAGUCAGCGGUGAAAUUUUGGUGCUCAACACCAAACGUGCCGUUGAUACUGCUGAG